CUGAGGUGUCGCAACCAGGUUAAAUACUGUGUUUUCUCCAAAUAAGGAAGCCACGUAAGCAUUCAUUUUAUCUAAGGAAAUAGAUACGUCUUUUGGUCAAGAAACGUUACCUAAAAUAUGGCACCUUCUCACGCACACGGCUUUAUGCUAUACAGACAUGACUUUUGGAUUGCAUAAGUUGUGUAGACCGAAUAUACAGCACUCCGAUCAACAAACCCCUCUUCAUUGCCAUCAUCAUAUUGUUGGAUGCCAAGCGGUGUAUACUCUCUAACACGUGCCUUAUAAGUCGUUGAUGGAGUGUAUAUCGAUGAAUGCAAGUAUCUUCUGAUCGGAUUCUUUUUUAAUCACACUAGGAGUACCUUUUUUUUAAUUUUUUCCACAUUUUCAGUUGCAGAAUCAUCAAUUGUGCGAAGGUGAAAAAGAAAAGCAAAAAUUGAAUUCACCUUUUCAGUUUCGUGAAAAAAUGAAAGUAAUCCGUAACAAGGUUCAUGUUUGCCCAGUGUUCCGCUCUAUCCCAGAUAUUACUUUGGGACACCUCUGGCUCUGAUGGAAAACAUUAUCAGUAAUCUCUUCGGACAAUAUAUUUACUCUCACGAUUUACGCAAAAAUAUGAAGCCACGACAUCUAUUGGCAACACUUAACUCAUCGCGACACCCGUUCAUCUAUUUACAGUUUAGAUAUGAAGAGACACAUCCGGAAUGGGAAUAUAUUUGGAUGUAGAUUUUGUCAAAGAUGUGCUUCAAUCGCCGCGUUGUUUAAAAUGCAAGUGAGUCGUCUUACAGUUGCCUAAUAUUUUGGGAACAUGUCAAAAAGAUCUCUAAAGUUUAGACAUCUUCUCCAAAGAAAAAACACAUCAACUUUCUUUCUAACCAGUUUUAGGUAAGUUCUCAAUAUUCAAUAUUGUGAUUAAAUGAUUUGCUAACAAGAUUGAAUUAUGUGACAUUCAUUUAUGAACAUCAUGCUGUUUUUUCACCGGACAUUGUUGGAUCAACAAUGUAUCAUCGUAGACUUGAAGAAAAAAUUGUUUCGGCAAAUCAGCACCAGUGUCAGAAAGUAGAGUAGGAAUUCUCCCAAGGGAUGAUUAUCGUUAGAACUUAAUUAAUUCUAUCAUAUUACUGGAGAACUAUUUUUUUGUUUUCUUUUUUUUUUAUCGGAAAUCCACUUUUUGUUAUACAACGGUAACAAGGGCGUAGCAUAUGAGACUAUAUAUGCACAGAGAUAUCACAUUUAGUACACUACUAGCGCUAGCGAAGCUACUACCGGUAAGCUCCAGAGGUGAAGAGAAGGCGCAGACUGACUACGCUAAUAUAUACACCAACUAGACGUCUGGACUGGAUGCAAGCGGUUGGAAAUAUUGGCUUAUAUGAGAAGGGAAGAGAACUACAAUGUGGAUUUUGGGUUUACAAAUGCAAUAAGGAAAUUUUGGAAGAAAUUUUGCAAUAAUUAUCAAGGAAGGAUUAAGAAGUUGGGACUCCAAAAGUUCGAACUUUGGUAAUCUUAGAACACCGGCUAUUUAAUUCAUUGUGCCGACCAAAGGGAAAUUAGUUUUCUUUUUUCUUGGUCGAAAAGAAAAUUUGGAUGAGCAAGCAACAAGGAAAAUGCCAUGUGAACCAAAGAACUGUACUUAUUUCACAAAUUCAGACACCUUGCCCGUGCAAAUGCACGGGCAUGAAAGACCUUGUUACAUAGGAAUAAGUCUCUAUUUAUAGGCUAGAGUAUCAACCCUGGUUACAUAUAGAUGGGCCGCACAAUGGGUCAAAGGCCCUACAAUACUCCCCCUUUGUUGUCCAAUAGUAGUGCUUCAUAUGUAGUGCUUCAGAUAUAAUGCUUUCGAUGUAGCACUUCAGAUGUAGCUCUUGAGAUCUAG